rnacentral:rRNA from 1 species
UACAGAGGGGGCAAGCGUUGUUCGGAAUUACUGGGCGUAAAGGGCGCGUAGGCGGCCUUCUAAGUCAGACGUGAAAUCCCCCGGCUUAACCUGGGAACUGCGUCUGAUACUGGGAGGCUAGAGUAUGGGAGAGGGAUGUAGAAUUCCAGGUGUAGCGGUGAAAUGCGUAGAUAUCUGGAGGAAUACCGGUGGCGAAGGCGGCAUCCUGGACCAUUACUGACGCUGAGGCGCGAAAGCUAGGGGAGCAAACGGG